rnacentral:rRNA from 1 species
CCUACGGGAGGCAGCAGUGAGGAAUAUUGGUCAAUGGACGAGAGUCUGAACCAGCCAAGUAGCGUGAAGGAUGACUGCCCUAUGGGUUGUAAACUUCUUUUAUAUGGGAAUAAAACGUUCCACGUGUGUGAUUUUGUAUGUACCAUAUGAAUAAGGAUCGGCUAACUCCGUGCCAGCAGCCGCGGUAAUACGGAGGAUCCGAGCGUUAUCCGGAUUUAUUGGGUUUAAAGGGAGCGUAGGUGGAUUGUUAAGUCAGUUGUGAAAGUUUGCGGCUCAACCGUAAAAUUGCAGUUGAAACUGGCAGUCUUGAGUACAGUAGAGGUGGGCGGAAUUCGUGGUGUAGCGGUGAAAUGCUUAGAUAUCACGAAGAACUCCGAUUGCGAAGGCAGUUCACUGGACUGCAACUGACACUGAGGCUCGAAAGUGUGGGUAUCAAACAGGAUUAGAUACCCCUGUAGUC